UACGUAGGGUGCAAGCGUUAAUCGGAAUUACUGGGCGUAAAGCGUGCGCAGGCGGUUUUAUAAGUCAGCUGUGAAAUCCCCGGGCUUAACCUGGGAAUGGCAGUUGAGACUGUAAGGCUAGAGUGUGUCAGAGGGGGGUAGAAUUCCACGUGUAGCAGUGAAAUGCGUAGAGAUGUGGAGGAACACCGAUGGCGAAGGCAGCCCCCUGGGAUAACACUGACGCUCAUGCACGAAAGCGUGGGGAGCAAACAGG
rnacentral:rRNA from 1 species